GACGGAAGGUGCAAGCGUUGCUCGGAAUCACUGGGCGUAAAGGGUGCGUAGGCGGCCGCGCAAGUCUGGCGUGAAAGCCCCGGGCUCAGCCCGGGAAGGGCGCUCGAAACGGCGCGGCUCGAGUGCCGGAGGGGAGAGUGGAAUUCCUGGUGUAGCGGUGAAAUGCGUAGAUAUCAGGAGGAAUACCGGUGGCGAAAGCGGCUCUCUGGGACGGUACUGACGCUGAGACGCGAAAGCGUGGGGAGCGAACAGG
rnacentral:rRNA from 1 species